UACGGAGGGUGCAAGCGUUAAUCGGAAUUACUGGGCGUAAAGCGUGCGUAGGCGGUUCGUUAAGUCUGCUGUGAAAGCCCCGGGCUCAACCUGGGAAUGGCAGUGGAUACUGGCGAGCUAGAGUGUGAUAGAGGAUGGUGGAAUUCCCGGUGUAGCGGUGAAAUGCGUAGAGAUCGGGAGGAACAUCAGUGGCGAAGGCGGCCAUCUGGAUCAACACUGACGCUGAGGCACGAAAGCGUGGGGAGCAAACAGG
rnacentral:rRNA from 1 species